AGGGACAGCCUAGGGAUUUCACCCAUGAACCCUAAUAUCCGAUUGUAAAUGAAUCGUCUUGCAACGUGAAGAUUGAAACAGAACCAUCAAGGCAAAAGCAGAUUAAAGGAUGGAAAGAUGGACCGCUAAAUUGAAGAUGAUGAUUGAAUUGUCUCCUCAUCCAACAAUAUUUAAGAUCAAAUCCAUGCUUCAAUUCUGUACAUCUUUCAUACUUCAGUGCUCUGUCACCAGAUCCACACAGGCUGCAUCCGGAAUCCCCCUAUGUCAGGUGCGAAUCCUGUCGUCUUUUGGUUCCAAACUUUGAAAAGCUACGGGAGAGAGAACGGCAGAGAGAUAAUGGAGAUAGGGAGACAGGCACUGCCUCCGGCGGCCACCAUCAUCGUUGACGUCAGGCGAACGAGAUAUGAUGGCGGCUAGGGUAAACUACCGGCAGACUGAAGAUGAUAGCGACGGUCGGGUUUUUGGUUCGCCAAUCAUUGGCUUAUGUGCCGUUUUCAAAUAUAUUUUAUACGAGGCAACUAAGGAACAGAGAUGCAAGUCUAAGAUCAAUUGCUUCAUACAAGAUGGCAUGUCUUCAUUCCUGAAAUUGAUGAACCCUAGGUGAGCCCUGAAUCCCUAAACCCAUCUGUUGAAGCUGAUGCAAUUUGUGUACAACCUUAUGCAUAUUUCCAACAAUUUAGCCCUAAUUUCUUUUCACCAACGUUUUCUCAACUCUAUUUUUGUUAAGAUUUGCAGAUAAGUCGUUCUGGAGUUGUGCUACAUUCGUAUAUGACGAACCCUAAAAAGAUUAGAUAUUUUUUUAAAUUUUGUUUGAGUCUUCGUUGAUGAAGCGUUGUUGGAUGAUCAUGCUUCUCAUGGUUAGAUUACAUGUAAUCUUUUAUUUGAUUUCAUUGUUUCUGUAACAUCAUAGUGUAUAUUUUGCAUCAAGUCUUUUUAAUUGUUAAUAUUCAUUUAUUCACUUUCAUAGCAACAAAAUGAAAGUAAUGAUUUUUACUCUUAAAAAUGCUACAGGUAAAUAUUAAAACCUUAAUAGCAUCAUCACUUUAAAUAACUUCAACCCGUUUGACCCAUUUGUCCAGUUUUCUUCACAGCAUUAUUUAAGAGCACAAACGCUUUAGCAUUUAAGGAGCACGGGUUAGCCUUUGAUGACCGGAUAAAUUUUGGUGUUAUAAAUUUUUAUUUGUAAUCUGUUUGUUGUUGCCUUUUUUUGUCGUUGUAUUGUUUUGGUGUAUUAUGAGGUUCCUUGAUUAGGCUUUGGCUAAAGAGGGCCUUGUGGUUUGGUUAUGAAUAAAGUUGUGUUUGGCUUGUAAAAAAAUGCAGUCCCCACGACAUAGGUAAAGCUCAGGUACUAAAAGCACAAAUGUCGAGGCCAACUUGUAGAGGCCGAGGGGGUACAACUUUGGUUAAUCAAGAUAACAAUGUUGAGUUCAUUGGUGGAUGAGGGGCCCGACUGAAUGUGGAUGUGGCACUACUUGAUCAAUUGGUUAUGGGUAAAACGAUUGAAAAGUUGGUUGCUGAUGGACUAAUGGUGAAGAAAAAGGAAGCACACUCUAUGAGUCCGUCGGUGAUGGUAGCAAUGGGUUUUGGCCUUUCAGCUAAAGAACCGAUGUUUGUGCAAGAUUCGGAAUUUUAAGGUAAAAAAUUCAAACUUAUUUUGUGUUUGUAUGAGUCUUGUACCCUGAUUAGUAAACUUGAUGAUCUGUAUUAUCUGUUAGGUUUUUGAGUUUGUAUGAUUUUUAGGGCUGGCAGCAAAAACCCAUACAGAUUCAAGUUUAUUGAUGGGUGAUGAUGGGUUUAACCAAACAUAAGCCACUAUUUAUGUAACCCUAAAGCGCAUCCCACUUGAAUCGGAAAAUUAGGGCCUUUUUGCUGCUUUUUAAUUGAAUUUGUGUUUGAUUUAGGUUUGUGUUAGUGAUCGUAUGCACGGAUAAUUAUUGACUUUUUAGUUUUUACUAAUUCCACAUCAUGAUAUGUUUUUGUGUGACAUUAGUUGUGAAGCUGGAUGAAAUUGUGUUUAAAGUUGUUAAAUUUAUGAAUUGUUAUCGAUCUUCAUGUUGAAAGUUGGGGCCGUUUGGUAUAUAUCAUUUUUUGUAAAGAUUUGGACUCACAUUGAUUUGACUUGUUGUAGUUAGAGUAGACUUUCAUCCAUUUAAGUUUAUUCAUGGGCCAUGAAAUAAGUUAGGGUGGGUUAUAUGGUUAUCGGGUUGGUGUAAUUCGAGUUAAUUAAAUGGUUGGAAAGAGCUACAAUUCGGUGGUCUUUAAUGGGCUGCAAAAGUAAUUUUGUAGUUGCUAUUUGUCGUUUGUUUUUCUUGUACUCCGUUUGGGUUUUAUAGCCUUGCUUGAUGGAACCGUAUUCUAUAAUCAUAGACUGUUUCGCUGUUAAAAAAAGGUAUUUGGGAUCCAUGUGGGGUGCUAUUUGACUUUGAUUAUUGACCUAAAUUCUGAACUGCAAUAGGAUACUGAAGAAUAAUUGUCUAAGAAACAAACACUAUAGGUGAUAACAGGAAAGAUUGUAAUGAACAAGCUUAAUCACUUUAGUGGCAGAAGAAAGUACAAAAAAAAUGAAACAUAUAUCAACUUGCAUACAUGAGAAUUCGGUUCGCUGAAUCGAAUUGAAAAAGUUUUCAACCAAAAAAGCAAAAUUAUGGGGGAUGUAAAAGAACUGGCACUUUUGUGGCUGUCAAAUGGAUCGAAAAUAACGGAGCUGGAAUGGAGGAGAUAGGCUGAAAAUAAUCAGGAGAGCACCUAGAAUAUGCAUGGAUGAUAUGCUGCCUUCGUGAUGAACCUGUUUCCUGUUUCUUUAAUUUUGAAAUGUACCACUGCUGUAACAAUUUGCCCAGCAACUUGCUGGGCUGAAUGAAUGGAAGCUUUGUUUUUUCAAAAAAAAAAAAA